ensembl:lncRNA
GUAGGAGGUGAGGGAGUGUAUAUGUGUGUGUGAGUAUAAAUGUAUGUAGGGGGAGCUGACAUGGAGAACUGUAUGUAGGCAGGAAGCCUCCACGCUCACGCAUGCUUACUAUGCGGCCCCGGGGGUGGAGAGAGUCUAUGUAGUUAAAUCCACUGCCAGUGGAUAAGCCACUCACAGUGACAUGCAGAUAAGCACAGCAAGCAGCAAGGGCUCGGCCUGAGAAAUACAUACACACUUACAGACACACAUACAUAUACACACAGAGGAUAGCAGUACUUCAACAGGAUUUUGCAGGUUGUCACUAGCAGUUACACAAAAGAGCAGAGAGGUGAAAGAAGAAGAGAAGAGAAGCAGAGACAAAGCAGUCUGCAUAUGGAAAAGCUCAGCCAUGUGCACAGGUAAGAACAACUCCAGAAACUCUUUCAAUGACUUUGUGUAUAGGAAAAUAAUAAGGGACUAGUCAUGUUUAUAUAUUGGGCUUACUGCUGAUACAAUCUAGAGUCCUCCAUUUAUGGUUUAACACACUUUAUCAUAGCAAAGUCCUCUCUUUAAUUUGAGAUUAUUUUGUGUAUGAUUACAUUUUAGGCAAAUCUGGGUAAUUUUCUGUGAAUCAGAAUGAGUAAAAGUCAGUAGCGGGAUGGCACUGUUUGUGAGUGUGUGGAGUGUUUUGAGUUCACUGAAUAGUAUGAGUGAUGAUGAGUUUGUGUGUUAGAGAGAGAGCUCUAAUUGUUGUCAGUGAGAGUGCACGCCUGCAGCGGUGGAAGGAGGGACAUAAACCUGGCACUGUCUUUGUUCUCUACAGUUGCAUGGCAGUUACAGAGCAGGUAUAUAAACACACACACACACACACACACACACACACACACACACACACACACCUUUCUGCUCUUGCCCUAAUCCACUCAAACUCAACAGCAGCUGCUCCAACCCACAGGAUACAUUCACUGGGGAUGGUUGUUUGUUUUAUUGUCUGUUCCCAACCAGAGGAAACCAGAUCAGAGAAAAGCUCCACUAGCCUGCAAAACUUAUUGUGCCUCCACACGAGUGAGUGGGUGGAUGUGAGUUUUAGUGCAAAUGUGUCUAAACGUGCAUUCGCAUGUGUUUGCCCAGAAGAGUGAGUGUGCAUGUAUGAGUGUGUGGGAGUUUGGAUAUAGGUAUUUGUGUAGGUGGGGUGUAGCUGUACAUGUGUGGGUGACUGAGUGCAUGUGUGAGUGUAAGGGUGCAUGUGCUUGCCUCUGUGAGUGUGUAUGUGUGUAUUAAACAUGCCUACUAGAACUGGCAAUAAUAUAAAAGCUGGGAUGUUUGUCAAACCUUGAGCAUUCCUGUACACCCUGACCCCAUACUGAAUGCUGAGAAUUUCAGCUGAAACAGAAAGAUAAUAGCCAGGAGGACAUUUAAGAGGGUUUAGCUCAGAUCCCUGGGAAUCAAUCCCCCGGGUGCAGUGGGAAAAUCAAGAGCUCAGGCCUGUAUUUCAGGUUUCAGUUAGAGACAGUUGCAGCCUGCUGCCGAGGGGCUUUCCCAAAAUGGGGCACAAUCGGGAGGGGAUACAAAGAGACCCACCUGUGGUGCUCUGAGGACUGUGGUGUCUGCUCACAGUGGGAAAUGUCUUGCUGUUGUAGCCCUGCAAGGCUGCUGAUAUUUUUCAUUUCUAUUUGGCUGAUUAAUUCAGUGAUGGAUUUGAAUGGUGUGUGGUCUGUAAUGUAGUCUAGUUUUCUACAGCAUGAAUAUAAAGGACAAGGAAGGCUGUGUCAUUAUGUCUCUUCAUGGGGUUCUUGAGCAUGGACAAAUGUUAAAUAAGCAUGUUAUCACACACACACACACACACACACACACACACACACACACACACACACACACAUACACUAGAGCCUUUUAUAUGUUACUGAUAAUUAUAAAUCUUGCUUUAAACCAUUCAAUAUAUAAUUGCAAUAUCACAGGAAUCUAAUAUUACUAGCAAUAUCAUUAACAUGAUUUUGGAGGAGAGAUAGUAAUUAAAACCAACACAAGUUGCUCUGUAGCUAAUUAAAAUACCUGUGCAGAAAAAUUGUCCAUUUUCCCUUCAUAACAUAUUUGAGCACAGUGUUGCCCUGAACUAUUUUUCAUUUAUCUAAUUUGUUUACUUAAUAUACAGUGCCUGUUUUUUAGGGGCCAAGCACCAAAAGUGCGUAGGCACUUAUUGUAUCUGUUAGUUUUCCUCUUCUUCUUCUUCUUCUUCUUCUUCUUCUUCUUCUUCUUCUGCUGCUGCUUCUUCUUCUUCUUCUUCUUCUUCUUCUUCUUCUUCUUCUUCUUCUUCCACCCCAUUGCUAGUCUAUGGCAGCCCUAUGAACCAUAAGUAGGAAAAUUAUGAAAUUUGGCACACUCAUAGACAUGACCAUGAAUAGUAUCUGGACCAAUUAUGGGGUCUCUAAGACCAACUCUAUAGCACCACCACUAGUUCACUUUUCAAAUGGUUAUAAUUGUUGAAAACUUGGUCCUAGAGAAAAGCAAUUUAGUUCAUCAGAUUACUCUCCUCAUGCUGAUCACAAUACAUUUCUUACAUUAAGACCCCACCCAUUACAGUAGUCACCACUUUGAAAUGUAAAGUAUUCAGUUUUUUCAUUACUUCUCAUUCAAAUUUGGUCCAAUUCUUACUGAAAUUGGCUCAGAUGAUCAUUGGACAGAGCUGCACAGAAAUGACUGAACAGAACUUUGAUAUUCAUAUGUGUUCAAAAGUUAUGAUGUCGCAAAUUUAAUUAUGUUGACCCAAAAUUGGUUCACAGGCAGUGUCUUGGCCAGACUUUGAUCAAUUGUAACGAAACUUGGUAGUCUUCAUCAGCAGCAUAAUCUGAGGGUUCAUGCCAAAUUUGAGAACAGCGCCACCUAAAGGUCAUGAGAUUUUAAAAAGGAAAUUUUUUGCUUAUAACUUUUGAAUGCUUUGUCAGAAAAUUUUGAGCUUGGUGUGCACAGAUUCAGUGGGUCAUGCCGAAUCCGUGUAUAUGAAUUUUGCCAGGAUUGGGCAAAUCGCCUGUCCGCCAUUUUGAAAUUUCUUAUAUAUUGUAAUAUCUUUUCAAGUAUUUGACAUAUCGGCACAAUUUCGUAGGGAUCAUUCAUAGCAUGUCCUCUAGAUACCUGAGAAAGUUGAAUGCAGUGCCACCUAGUGUUCUAGAGAUAUAAGGUUUUUUUGUAAAAAAAAAAAAAAAAAACAUAACUUUUGAAAACAUUCUCCGAAAUUUGUUUUUUCUGCUUCGUUACGUAUGUGGUGCACUGUGAUAAAUGACAAGCAUCAAUACUAAAGAUCCUGGGUUCAAUUUCUGUGUGGUGCAAAUUCUUAAAAGUCUGUGUAAUGUUUUGUCUUUCAGUUCCUUUCUUUUGUGGCUCAGCAUUACACUAAACUUUCAAUCUCUUGCCAUGCUAAUAAAUGUCUCUGUUCUGUUCAUUUCCUGUUCAUCUUAUUCUCAGCUGUGUUUCUGAACCUAUCUUUUAUUCAUUAAUGUACACACUUUUUCCUCCUCUUUGUGUUCUUCAGGCUCCGCAUUGCACUUGCUGUGCCUUUGGUGCUUGGCCCCUUUAAACACUGCUUGCAGCUUUAAUUUAAUAUUACAUUUGCUUGUAUAGUCCAUCAAUUGGGUAAAUCCUUUCUCAAAUUGGUGAAUUCCAUUUUCCAUCCCAUUAACUAGGUAAUUAAAAUUAGGCCUGUACUGCAUUUAAUGGUUUGGUAUCAGCAUGGUGUCACAACAAUACACUGGAACCAAUAACAACAGUGUCAGACUAACUUACAAAAAAAACAUCCAGUAUGGGCUCCAUUUUGUUCGAAUUUUUGGUAAAAAUGUAUAAAAUACGUAACAAUUUGCACAACUCAAAUUCCUUUGGUCAUGAUUAACAUUAACAUUAGGGUUAUGGGUGGGGUUAGUAUGGAUUCUUGCUACUUCCUCUGUGUAAACCUAAUAAAAUCCAGUUGAAUUAAUAAUAAUAAUAAUAAUAAUAAUAAUAAUAAUAAUAAAUAAUAAUAUGUCUGAUAUCUCGUGUCUCAGGUUGUAAAAAGGUUUCUAUAAAAUUGAAUGGCUUUUAAGGUUAAGCUUCCU